rnacentral:rRNA from 1 species
UGACGGUACCUGGAGAAAAAGCAACGGCUAACUACGUGCCAGCAGCCGCGGUAAUACGUAGGUUGCAAGCGUUGUCCGGAUUUACUGGGCGUAAAGGGCGUGUAGGCGGAGCUGCAAGUCAGAUGUGAAAUCCCGGGGCUCAACCCCGGAACUGCAUUUGAAACUGUAGCCCUUGAGUAUCGGAGAGGCAAGCGGAAUUCCUAGUGUAGCGGUGAAAUGCGUAGAUAUUAGGAGGAACACCAGUGGCGAAGGCGGCUUGCUGGACGACAACUGACGCUGAGGCGCGAAAGCGUGGGGAGCAAACAGGAUUAGAUACCCUG